UUUUUGACAUCUUAGAUUUUUUUUCUGAAGAGAGAGAUGGAGGCGGAACACAGAGACGAUUACGAUUAGUGUUUUUAAGUAAUACAGGUGUCCCAUGUACUAUCACUCUAAGCUUGCAUUUCUGUUGUGGCUCCAACUUCUAUCUUUUGAUGGGGACAUGGAAAGACCGGAUCAUUUUGAAGGCCUGUAUAUAAUUGUACAAGAUGAUAAAGAUGAGUUCCCAACUAAUGUUUCUAUGCUUGCAGCCCAAGAUGAUGCAACACACUGCAAGUCCGGCUAUUACGGAUGUUAUCCAACUGGUUCUUGACAUGGUUGAUAUUUUUCUCAGUUUGUGCGGACUAGGGUGGUAGUCUGGCUAUCAUGGAUUUUGGAUUUUUUUGGAUCUUUGCAGCGGUGUACAUAAUUAUACACACAAAUGUAAAUUAAAAAUUUUUAAAAAUGAAAAUUAUAUAGUCAUAUGGGUACUCU